ACUGUGGAGUGUACAUGAAUCUGCGAGUAGUAAAUCACUUAGUGAUUACCAAAGCAUACACAUUGAAGCAGUAA
rnacentral:ncRNA from 1 species